rnacentral:lncRNA from 1 species
ACAUUGAAUGAUAUUUUUUUGUGUCAGGUUUCACAGAUCCUGUUUGGUCACUGGAACUGAUCACUGGAAAGGUAUUCAUACCUAUAAGUUAUGUUAUGGGGGUUCCAUGGAGUGAAUGCGAGAGUGUUGGAACCUUGAUUGGUAUAAAAACCAUGGUAAACGAGUUCGUUGCAUUUGAACAUAUGGGCGAAAUGCUGAAGCAAAAUUUAUUAUCGGGUCGGACUAAAGUUAUUGCUACUUACGCUAUAUGCGGUUUUUCUAAUCCAGGUUCCAUUGGUAUCAUGAUCUCAGGAAUGGGAACUUUGGUACCGAAUAAAAGAGAAGUCGUUACGAGACUGGUAUUCAGAGCUUUCUUCGGAGGAGCAUUGGUUUGUUUCAUGACUGCAUGUAUAGCGGGUAUUCUGAUGCCCGAGGAUGCUAUUUAGUUUUCCCAGUUCCGAUUACUUGUGAUAAUUAAAACAUAAGUGGCUAGUACUUAAACGACUGAGAUUGGCUUUCUGAUUUCGAUAACAGAUUGCUCAAUUUUUAAUGAAUAUUAAAAAAAAACAACGUUGUUGAUUUAUCGACGAAGAACAAGUAUAUUUUGGUUUUCCAUCACAAGCUUUCAUUAAAUUUCACCUUUCCCGGAGUCUGCAAUUGAAUCUUGUAAGUUUAAUAUGCCUUAUCAGCACUCGAUUGAACUGAAAUUCACACACUAUACUCUAUCUAUACAAGCAACAGAGUGCUCCAAAACAUUAUCAUGCAUCGUGUACAUGAUCUCCCAAACAAGGUGCAAGUCGCACUAAGAAACGACCGCUCUGGGUAUAGGAAAAUAUUUCAGGUGGAGUGUUGGGACUCAAAUUAUCAGUUUCUUUAGCCGAAUCAGUACUUGACAUUUUGAAAAUUUUAAACUUCGACCCUGUUGCGAUAUAACUGAAUUAAUUCCGCCAGCUGAUUGCAGUUGAAUCUGAUUAGCCAGCGUGUUUAUUUUACCCAAUAGAUUCAAAUGUGUUUGAUGAUCACAUGGUGAUAACGCAUCUAUCAUUGUUUUGGGUUACUUUGUUUAUUGGAUGGAAAGAGUUCAGUGCCAUACCCACUAGCCAAGUUUUCGUAACAAUGCAAUUCACAGUCAAAACAAGUUCAGGGAUAGUUUCGUGGUGAUCCAACAAAUGUUGAAUGUAUCGCAAUAAAACAAUAAUGACGAAUUAGAAAUGAACAGACUGCGAAACACAACAGGAAAAAUAAUCAAUAUCAAAAAGCAUUUUCGAAAAGAAACUGCCAGUCACAUGUUCCAGAAAGAAGAAAAUGAGGUUUGUUCUGAUAUGUAAUGAAGAAUCUGUAGAAGGAAUCGGUGGCAAUCACUUGGCACCACUCUGAAUGCUGACGAUACACUUUGCAAUCCAUUAGACUAGAUAAUGAUAAACUCAAAUGAUACAAUUUUUGGUAUUCAUAUAUAUUUGAUUUUUUUCUGGGAAUUAUUACUUAUUGAGUUAUAAUUUAAGGUAUAUUUUUCCACCUGAAAUAACAUUCAAGAGGCAUAUUUCUUAAAAAAUGUGUGUAAUGUGAAAGAUAUUGUGCUUUGUCAUUCUAUAUUUUGAAUAUUCCAUAAUCUGGAAAGUAAAUGAAUUUGUAAUAAAUUGUAAUAUGAGUAGAA